rnacentral:rRNA from 1 species
AAUGAACGUUGGCGGCGUGGAUUACGCAUGCAAGUCGUGCGAGAACCGUAGCAAUACGGGGACAGCGGCGAAAGGGAGAGUAAUGCAUGGAUAUCUACUCUCGGGUCUGGGAUAGCUACGGGAAACUGAAGGUAAUACCAGAUGACAUCUCCGGAUCAAAGGUGUGAUUCCGCCCGAGGAGGAGUCCAUGUCCUAGUAGCUAGUUGGCGAGGUAACGGCGCAGCAAGGGAAAGAUGGGUAUGGGGUGUGAGAGCACGACCCCACUCACUGGGGCUGAGAUACUGCCCAGACAGCGACGGGUGGCUGCAGUCGAGAAUCUUCGGCAAUGAGCGCAAGCUUGACCGAGCGACGCCGCGUGCGGGAUGAAGGCCUUCGGGUUGUAAACCGCUGUCAGUGUGGAGGAAAUUCCUAGGGGUAAUCUCUUAGGAUUGACCUAUACGCGGAGGAAGGAUGGGCUAAGUUCGUGCCAGCAGCCGCCGUAAAAC